rnacentral:rRNA from 1 species
UUCUCUCUUGAAUGUAUCCUGAGUACGGCGGAACACGUGAAAUUCCGUCGGAAUCUGGGAGGACCAUCUCCCAAGGCUAAAUACUCCCUAGUGAUCGAUAGUGAACCAGUACCGUGAGGGAAAGGUGAAAAGCACCCCGGAAGGGGAGUGAAAGAGAUCCUGAAACCGUGUGCCUACAAAUAGUCAGAGCCCGUUAACGGGUGAUGGCGUGCCUUUUGUAGAAUGAACCGGCGAGUUACGAUCCCGUGCGAGGUUAAGCUGAAGAGGCGGAGCCGCAGCGAAAGCGAGUCUGAAUAGGGCGUUUAGUACGUGGUCGUAGACCCGAAACCAGGUGAUCUACCCAUGUCCAGGGUGAAGUUCAGGUAACACUGAAUGGAGGCCCGAACCCACGCACGUUGAAAAGUGCGGGGAUGAGGUGUGGGUAGCGGAGAAAUUCCAAUCGAACCUGGAGAUAGCUGGUUCUCCCCGAAAUAGCUUUAGGGCUAGCCUUAAGUGUAAGAGUCUUGGAGGUAGAGCACUGAUUGGACUAGGGGUCCUCAUCGGAUUACCGAAUUCAGUCAAACUCCGAAUGCCAAUGACUUAUCCUUAGGAGUCAGACUGCGAGUGAUAAGAUCCGUAGUCAAAAGGGAAACAGCCCAGACCGCCAGCUAAGGUCCCAAAGUGUGUAUUAAGUGGAAAAGGAUGUGGAGUUGCUUAGACAACUAGGAUGUUGGCUUAGAAGCAGCCACCAUUUAAAGAGUGCGUAAUAGCUCACUAGUCGAGUGACUCUGCGCCGAAAAUGUACCGGGGCUAAAUACACCACCGAAGCUGCGGAUUGAUACCAAUGGUAUCAGUGGUAGGGGAGCGUUCUAAGGACAGUGAAGUCAGACCGGAAGGACUGGUGGAGUGCUUAGAAGUGAGAAUGCCGGUAUGAGUAGCGAAAGACGGGUGAGAAUCCCGUCCACCGAAUGCCUAAGGUUUCCUGAGGAAGGCUCGUCCGCUCAGGGUUAGUCAGGACCUAAGCCGAGGCCGACAGGCGUAGGCGAUGGACAACAGGUUGAUAUUCCUGUACCACCUCUUUAUCGUUUGAGCAAUGGAGGGACGCAGAAGGAUAGAAGAAGCGUGCGAUUGGUUGUGCACGUCCAAGCAGUUAGGCUGAU